UACGGGGGAGGCAAGCGUUGUUCGGAUUUACUGGGCGUAAAGGGCGCGUAGGCGGUCAGCACAAGUCAGUUGUGAAAUCUCCGGGCUUAACUCGGAAAGGUCAACUGAUACUGUGCGACUAGAGUGCGGAAGGGGCAACUGGAAUUCUCGGUGUAGCGGUGAAAUGCGUAGAUAUCGAGAGGAACACCUGCGGCGAAGGCGGGUUGCUGGGCCGACACUGACGCUGAUGCGCGAAAGCCAGGGGAGCGAACGGG
rnacentral:rRNA from 1 species